UACGAGCCGUGUUUUAUUAUUCAUCUGUCACGACAAUUUACAUGCACGAUAUUCGUCGAUUUAUUGACUUCGAAUUAUUAGACUGUAUAAUAUUACAUUUUUCAUUACGAAAUACAUAAACCCUGGUCAUAAAUAAAAAUUAUUAAAAACCUAAAUCCGUUUGAUCCGUUCGACUUUCAAAUUGAUGUCACAGCCACACGAUUGUUAAGCAGGCUUUGUCGCAGAACAAAUUAUCAAGUACGAAAUAAUCAUCACCAUCACUUGGUCUCACUGAAUUCAACAAAAGCACAUUGUGAUCGUAAAAUAACUAUAGAACAUAAAAAUAAUAACCAGUUUUAAGCCGGCAGCACUGUAUUGACCCGAACCCUUGAAACCAUGGGGAAAAUAUACAUUUUUUAUCAACUUAGAUCGAUUCUCAGUGUUCUAUGAUGCACAGAGAGCGGGACUGCGUAACGUACUCCCUACAACCAAUUCCUUUUAUGUAACAAUAUCACUCACGAGCACCUUUGUAAUUUCAUUAAUAACACCUAAAAAUCGAUUCCACAACAAGGUUCACGACAAUUCAAACACAAGUCUGCGGCGGCGUGAUAAAAUAUAUUAUGUUCCUAACUAAAGCUGCGAUGUAAUACUGCACGAUAUAUAUUUCAUAGUAAAACACUUUUGUGACUACAAUGUGGGAUAUACGUGUAAAUUAUGACAAUGCCAACCAAUUUUCCGUGUCAUAUUUCUCUACAAUGGUGCAAACAAUAACUGAUGGCAAGAACGCACGACUCGAACUAUGCACGCUCGCUUUGACACUAACCUUUGCAUAGAUGUCGCCGUACUCGCGGCCAUAAUGGAAAUGGCCGCUGACAUAAACCGUCAAAUAACUACAAGCUAUUUUCAACUUUAAUAACACGCAGUAAGUUGGAAAAUGGAUUAACAAUAUUCCACCAAAACUAUGAUUCGAUUGUAUAAGACGACCGAUUAAAAAACACUCAAUUGUACUGCACUUUGAUGCGAUGAAACGUGCAUUUUGUGUAAUUCGUACUAUAUCGAGGAUCUUUUUGUCUCUUUUUCUUGGAGGCGAUUUGGAACAAAUAAUAAUUUUAUUCUACGCUUGCGCGAAGCUCUUCAUCUAUAAUAAUAUGAACUUUAUUCCUUUGUUGUAAAGUCUUUUAACCAUUUGGGCAAAGCUAAGACAAUAAUUAUUUGUUGUUCCAUGACCAAUAAAAUAUUUUAAUUUA